CUUGGCUCUAAGGGCUCCUUUUUGGUUCUUUAUGAAAUUUAAAGUAGUUUUUUUCUAAUUCUGUGAAGGAAGUCCAUGGUAGCUUGAUGGGGAUAGCAUUGAAUCUAUAAAUUACUUUGGGCAGUAUGGCCAUUUUCACGAUAUUGAUUCUUCCUAUCCAUGAGCAUGGAAUGUUUUUCUAUUUGUUUGUGUCCUCUUUUAUUUCCUUGAGCAGUG
rnacentral:lncRNA from 1 species